GUGGGGAAUAUUGGACAAUGGGCGAAAGCCUGAUCCAGCCAUGCCGCGUGUGUGAAGAAGGUCUUCGGAUUGUAAAGCACUUUAAGUUGGGAGGAAGGGCAGUAAGUUAAUACCUUGCUGUUUUGACGUUACCAACAGAAUAAGCACCGGCUAACUUCGUGCCAGCAGCCGCGGUAAUACGAAGGGUGCAAGCGUUAAUCGGAAUUACUGGGCGUAAAGCGCGCGUAGGUGGUUCAGCAAGUUGAAGGUGAAAUCCCCGGGCUCAACCUGGGAAGUGCCUCCAAAACUACUGAGCUAGAGUACGGUAGAGGGUAGUGGAAUUUCCUGUGUAGCGGUGAAAUGCGUAGAUAUAGGAAGGAACACCAGUGGCGAAGGCGACUACCUGGACUGAUACUGACACUGAGGUGCGAAAGCGUGGGGAGCAAACAGGAUUAGAUACCCCUGUAGUCC
rnacentral:rRNA from 1 species